AAUGGCGGCGUUAAUCGUUGUCUCUCAGUUACACACUUUACCUGUAUAUGACGUGUAAGUGAGACGGAUGAUUAGCACAGCUUCGUUUCGAUUCGUUUCUUUAUUGGCACGAGUUAUAUGGAUUUAGUUGUGACA